UGACAUGCAUAGGAGAGAAUGGGGCUUUUGUAUGAAUUUGUAUCGUUUAAGAUUAUAUUAGGAUUAGGAUAGGUGGAUGCAUUAAUUAAACGCUAUAUGUAAAGGGAAGAUGAAGGGUUGUAUUUUUUGUGUAGGUUUCUAAGUUUACGGAACUCAUCUUCUUUCUUUUUUGAUUACCUUCCGACGUUACAAAAAAGAAAUUAUGAGAUGGAAAGCCGAAGAGACAUACGAUAUGGAAAAGAAAUUAAUAAGACAGAAAUUAAUAAGACGGGAAGCCGAAGAGGUAGACGUUAUAGGGAAGGAAUUAAUGAAACGGAAAGCCGAAGAGACAGACGUUCAUAAGGUGAAAGCAAACAGUGAACGAAACUAUAGGGAAGGAAUUAAUAAAACGGAAAGCCGAAGAGACAGACGUUCAUAAGGUGAAAGCAAACAGUGAACGAAACACUGCCACGUGGCAUUUUUUAUGGGGAUUAAUG
rnacentral:lncRNA from 1 species